CUGUGGAUUAGAAAUGGUCAAAUGCAUGGGGUUACACUCCGUAGUUUUACAAUACGGUGCAGUGGUCAACCUUUGGAUAAUCAAAUCUUGAUCUACUGUUUUUCCCCAUGUCGCCCAACCUACACUUGACCAAUAUGGACAGAAGUUAAAGUCUCUAAUUGGGCAAUCAGGAUCAGUAGAUCUUUUGCUAGGGCAUAAAUACUUAUCGUUAAACCUAAAAGUCCGUUCCCAUUUAAGAUUACCGCAUACAUUCCAAGGUUUUAUGCUACCCGAAAUCGCCUUACAUGCAUCAAAUAAUAGAAUACCUGUAGAAUGUAUUGUGCUUAUCACAGUCCUAUUUAUUAAGGUCCCCUGGGAGUUACUAUUCCGAAUUACCAACCAAAUUGUACGGGGUUGGAAUUGGGGAUCGAAACAUUUAGGAUCUCCUGAUAUUGGUUAGCACACACUAUAAUCAGUAUCUAGAUAUCUACAUUAAGACACGGAUCCUCUACACUCUUCCUGUGAGUGCCAAAUAAGAGUUUGGGAUAUUUGGUUACCUGUUUUCGUAGUCUUUAUACAACUAACACAGCCU